GUUUGGGAAAACGAGAAAUGUUGGUGAGACAAGAUGGUAGCCGACUAAAAGGCACAAAGCCGACCAAACCCGACAGCCAAAUCCAACUGGCUACAGUAAUGAUACAGAAAGUAUAAAAGCCUGCCUUAAAUCACAUUGUGUGUGCAUUCUAUUGUAGACAGCCUCAGUGCAUGUUAUAAUCUGUGUGCAUCAUAGAACAAUAGAUUAGGUAAAAAAAACUUGAAGAGGAUCCUUUGUUAGAAGACCGACGAGACUUCGAAGGACACCUGCGUUCAAGGAGACAGAGUUCCUGUCAUCGUCUAUCGCUCAGUUAAAAGUGGUCCAGACCAAAUAUGUGGAGGCGAAGGACCGCCUGAACAUCCUGAGGAAAAGUAAUGAAGAGAAAAUGGAGAAACUGGUAUCUGCUGGAACUAAGCUUUCCCACUCUAUUGCUGCGAGUCCCCAAAUACCAACCAAGAAACGGCGGUCUCCACAACCACCAAAGCCUCCGGGCCCAGCCUGCCCUCCCCCUCCAUCUGAGAGGGCACUCCGACCUCUGCCUCAACGUCAGGGAUCACACCAGCCCUCAUCUGCAAACAGCACUGGUAACUGAUAUGUGUUGGGUCCCUGCUAUGGCAGCAGUAACAAUCAGAAAUGUUUUCAGAACAAGCGGGAGCCCAAUGUCCCUUUAGCUUUCCCUAUCUCUGUCCUGAUAUGUGAUAGAAAGACGAAGGCCCUCUCCAGCCGCACGACGACUCUAUCUAAUCUACUGUCUUUAAGACGUCAUUCUGAGAUGGAUACAGGGCCAAAACCAGUUACUGUUAAAUUAGCACUUCUGAACAUCCGUUCAUUAAAGAACAAAUCAUUUUUAGUUAACAAUCUUAUCACCACUAACAACCUGGACUUCGUGUUUCUAAAUGAAACCUAGUUAGAUGACAGCUGCAGCGCUACAGUCCUCAAUGAAUCAGCACCACCCAACUUUACUUUUAUAAGUGUCUGUAGAGCUGUUAGAAGAGGUGGAGGAAUAGCUGCUUUACUCAAAGAUGCCUUUCAAUGCAAGCAAGUGUUACUUGGUGAUUACCAGUCUUUUGAAUAUCUGUGUAUUGUUCUAAAAGGUACACCACGCAUUCUGUUUACAAUUAUUUAUAGGCCUCCCAAAUACACCCAACUUUUGUUGAUGAAUUCACAGAACUUUUAUCAACAAUCUCCUUUGAAUUUGAUUAUUUUGUUAUUGCUGGAGAUUUCAAC